rnacentral:rRNA from 1 species
AUACGGAGGGAGCAAGCGUUAUUCGGAAUCACGGGGCGUAAAGGACGCGUAGGCGGGUUUGUAAGUCAGGUGUGAAAUCCUACAGCUCAACUGUAGAACUGCACUUGAAACUACAGACCUAGAGUAUGGAAGGGGCAGAUGGAAUUAGUGGUGUAGGGGUAAAAUCCGUAGAUAUCACUAGGAAUACCGAAAGCGAAGGCGAUCUGCUGGGACAUUACUGACGCUGUGGCGUGAAAGCGUGGGGAGCAAACAGGAUUAGAAACCCCAGUAGUCC